UCCUUAUUCCUGCUUGUGACGAUGACAGUUCCACCAUAGCCCUUUGGCAACCCAUAAGCAAGGUGUUGGUCCCACUUAACAUGGCGAGGUAGUGAAGCAUUCAAGUUGCUGUACCAGUACCAGUCUCCAGUAUCCUGCGCAUCAUCCAACACGAUCAGAUACCUCUUGCGCAUCAACUCCACAUGAAGAGCACAAAGUAACCCAGCAAGGCCAUGCUCGUCUAAAAUGGUUUUCACCAUCUCCCCUUCGACUCCAAGAGAAUUUAACAUUCUUUUCACAAUUGCUCUCUUCGGAUCAUUAUCUUCUUCGUUGUCCUUCGUUGACAUGUGAACCCAAAUCCUGGGAACAAAGUGGUUCUUCACUUCUGGUUUGGUCAGAAUAAGUUGGCAUAGUGUGGUUUUCCCAGCACCUCUCAUUCCUACAAUUCCAACUGUCUUGAAAUAAUCAAUACUCCCUCGUCGAACCAGCAAUUUCUCCAGAUGCGUUAUUUCAUCAUCGAACCCAUAAACCUUUGGUGGAGCCUCAGAGCGAGAACUCAAGCGAUGAAAUUCUCUAGCAUCAGAUAAGCUCGCUUGGAGUUGGCCAUUAUUCUGGGGUAGAUCAAGGUUUCCAUUUGGAUUGUUGUCGUCGGAGGGUUUAAUAUUUUCUAUCUCUGCCUUGAUCUUUGACAAAUUCUGCUUAAUUUUAAAGACAGUGGGUGAAAGUAGAGUAUUCUUGCCUGAAAGUGCCUGGCAUUCACUGAAAACGUCGUUGAGGGAGUAGAGAUAUGCUCUGAGUACGGGGACAUCUGAAGAAGAGCAAGAAACAAGCUUUUCCUUAAGCAACCCCUUGAGAUCUUUGAAUUCUUUAGCUAAGGGAACUUUAGGAGAUUCAAGGCCUUCUCCGAGUUUCUUCAGUAGAUACUUUUCAAUCUCCUGAGACAUAGCAGCUGUUAGACUCUUCAGCGAUUUGGAAGUCACCGGCAAAUCUUCCAGGUCUAUUAAUGGUUUUUUGCCCAGUGCAGAAAAAAAAAUCGCCCUGUGAUAUGGUAGAGAGAAAUUAUUUGCGGAGACUUUUGAGAGCUGGGUCUUCGAUCUUGGAGAUGAU
rnacentral:misc_RNA from 1 species